UCUCUCUCUCUUUGCUCUCCGAUUAUCUACUGAUUUGAGCAUAAGAGGAUUCCCGUCCUCCGUAAGCAUUUUUGAUCAAGGAAUUUAUUUGUAGGUUCAAUCUCCACUGAUCGGACCAUCACCCACUUCAGCUCAUUCCAAUCCUGGCUAACCUCAACCUCAGCUCGAUGCCCAUCGAACCUGCCAACCUCGGGGCCAGCUCAGUAAUCAGCAGCAACAAGCACUUUUGUUAAUAUAGUAGCUCAUGAUUUGCCUACUAAUCCUUGAGCUGGUUUGAUACUUGCUUCUUGAAGUGGGAAUCAGGUCAGAUUCCUCUUGAGGUGGUUCAGCAACGAACACUGCUUUAGUACAGGAGGUGUUGCGAUCAAUGCUGUCUUGUGCCACUACGGCGUUCAAGUGGCAAGGUCUAGCCUAGUGGAUGGAGCAUUUCGGUGCUCUUAAACUAUCCAGUCUAGAACGCCGGGAUCCUACCAUAUUAUGUGAUUGAUGCUACUACUCUUGUUUAUGUAAACUUUGUCCAUAGAAAAUAAAAUGAUUCUAGUAGCAAGCAUCUGUCCACAGAAAAUGAAACUAAAAUAAUUCUAGCAUCCACGGAAAAUCAAAUAAUUCUAAGCAUGCACACAAGCAUGCCCGCCCCGGAAGAAGGGUAAAAUUAUGCAGGCAUGCCUUUGCAUAUUUAUUUAUAUAUUACAUGAAUUUCAUAUCUCCAUGCCAAUAAUUAUUAAAUCAACUAGUUGAUACUGCAAUUUAAAUUCAUAAUGUGACCUGACUGAAAUUUCAUUGCAUCUAGUUAAGAACAAUAGACAAUUCAUGUACAAACACAGUAACCUAAUUACCUGAGCUAAGGCAUGCAUAAAAUUGAAACUUUAGAUCAAUCAAGGAAUCUAGCAAACAGUGUACAACAUAAGAUAUUUGUAUUUGACAUUUUCUAAGCUUUAUUCUGCAACUAUUCCUAUCAUCCCAAUUUUUCAGAUAAUUUGCAACCCCAUUUGCCCUACAAUCACUAUCUUAUCAUUGAAGAAGUGGGUUGAUAGCAGGUAUUCCCUCACCUAUCAUCAAAAAAUGUAUACAAUUUCUAGUGGUUAAUCUACCACGCCUUUUUGCAUAUUUAACUAUUCACAUUACAGAAUACCAGAUACUGCUGUCUUCUCAUAGAUGCUAUACAGAUAAUAACUGCAAUACAAACCCUCACAUGGAUUUUAGUGAAGUUUCAUGCAGAAUUGCUAUUAAAAAAGGGAGGGAAGGACCACAUAUCACUUGGAGACAGAAUUUCUCUCAAGUAAACUGGCUUUAGUUUCCCCUUUCAAUGGAUUUUAAACAAGCUCAUACUG
rnacentral:lncRNA from 1 species